UUUUGUUCAAUAGUAUGACUAUGAUUAAGUGAUCGAUCAUCAAGUUUUGCUCAUGCAUGGUUAGAGUCUUAAAUCUCUUUAAGAAAUUUAUGAGCCCUAGGGUUCAAAUUGUUUGGCAGAUUAAUUUUUCUAUUAGGAGUGCUUUUUGUGACCAUAUAAAGAGAAAACCUUAAAGCAUUAUCCUACUUUCUUCACAUCUCAGAUGAUCUAGCAAAAUCUCAAAUAAAUGACUUUUUUCUGGAGAAAUAUAAACGAUUUAAUUAUGGAAGUAUUAACAAAGUAAAUAUUAAUUAAAUAACUCAAUAAAUGCCAUUUUAUUAUUGUAUGAGAUUGAUGCAAGUAUAGUUAAAUUAAUUUAUACGUCCUAGAGUUUGUUGAAUGUUCCGUGCUCUAGCUUGCUCUUUGAACAAGUAUGCGUCUCAUGUCUUUUGUCAUCCCUAUUUAAAUUCUUCCAUAAAUCUAUCAUGAAAUUAAUGAUGCUAAUUUUUAGUAUUUUCUCUUUAUUUUUGACAAUCAUUUCAGGACGAAAUGAAGUAUAAAGACAUUCAUAUGCCCAAAUUAACUGUUGGCUCCAUAACAUUUAUACAGUGGCAAUUAUUAUCCUAUCAUUUCCAUUGUUUUCUCAUGCAUCUAGGAGUUAAUCAUUCAGAUAUCUAAGCCAUGAAAAGAAGAGAUGAGCAAUAUAUUAACUAGCUUCUCACAAACUCCAAGGUUUUAUUUUUGUUUCCCAAUGCAUUAGUUGCAUUGUAUAUUCUUUCUCCAUCAUCUCUUCUUUAAGAACGCAGUUACCUUUUCCAGGCUUGAUUUUAGGUUAGUUAUUGUCUAGUUAGUUACUCUCAUCAUUGCAAACUUGUAUAUAUUAUACAAUAUUCCAUUUACAACAAGGCUAUAUACACACGCAUAUCUAUCUAUCUAUAUAUAUAUGUGUGUGUGGGAGAGAGAGAGAGAGAGAGAGAGAGAGAGAGUAGCUAGUAGUAGCCCUCAUUUGAUACCAUUCGUGCUUUUGAACAAGGCAAAUGGGAGAAGAAAAAAAGAGGGAGACAGAUUAAGAAGCUUUACGUUUCUUUUUCCCCAUGGAGAAAAGAGAAGGUGCUGCAACUUCCUUUAUUGGUUUCAGAGAAAUGUGGGGAGAAAGAGGAGAAACUGUUCAUGUGGGGGACAUACUUGACCUCUAGAGGAUAAAAUUCUAGCCCACAAUGUUUAGCGUAUCUUCAGAGUUUUGAUGUAGUGGAAAAAAAGUUUAUCAUGUUAUUAAAGGUUUACUCGUUAUGCAAAAACUUAGGAUUAAUAUGAGAUUGAGGGUUUUAG